AGCUCAGUUGGUAGAGCAGCGGACUGAAAAUCCGCGUGUCGGUGGUUCGAUUCCGCCC
rnacentral:tRNA from 1 species